rnacentral:rRNA from 1 species
GACGAACGCUGGCGGCGUGCUUAACACAUGCAAGUCGAACGAUGAAGCCCUUCGGGGUGGAUUAGUGGCGAACGGGUGAGUAACACGUGGGCAAUCUGCCCUUCACUCUGGGACAAGCCCUGGAAACGGGGUCUAAUACCGGAUAAUACCUGCCUGGGCAUCUGGGUGGGUUGAAAGCUCCGGCGGUGAAGGAUGAGCCCGCGGCCUAUCAGCUUGUUGGUGAGGUAGUGGCUCACCAAGGCGACGACGGGUAGCCGGCCUGAGAGGGCGACCGGCCACACUGGGACUGAGACACGGCCCAGACUCCUACGGGAGGCAGCAGUGGGGAAUAUUGCACAAUGGGCGAAAGCCUGAUGCAGCGACGCCGCGUGAGGGAUGACGGCCUUCGGGUUGUAAACCUCUUUCAGCAGGGAAGAAGCGAGAGUGACGGUACCUGCAGAAGAAGCGCCGGCUAACUACGUGC